rnacentral:rRNA from 1 species
GAUGAACGCUGGCGGCGUGCCUAAUACAUGCAAGUCGAGCGAACAGACGAGGAGCUUGCUCCUCUGACGUUAGCGGCGGACGGGUGAGAAACACGUGGAUAACCUACCUAUAAGACUGGGAUAACUUCGGGAAACCGGAGCUAAUACCGGAUAAUAUAUUGAACCGCAUGGUUCAAUAGUGAAAGACGGUUUUGCUGUCACUUAUAGAUGGAUCCGCGCCGCAUUAGCUAGUUGGUAAGGUAACGGCUUACCAAGGUAACGAUGCGUAGCCGACCUGAGAGGGUGAUCGGCCACACUGGAACUGAGACACGGUCCAGACUCCUACGGGAGGCAGCAGUAGGGAAUCUUCCGCAAUGGGCGAAAGCCUGACGGAGCAACGCCGCGUGAGUGAUGAAGGUCUUCGGAUCGUAAAACUCUGUUAUUAGGGAAGAACAAAUGUGUAAGUAACUAUGCACGUCUUGACGGUACCUAAUCAGAAAGCCACGGCUAACUACGUG